GGUCCCUCCUGCAGCAGCUCCAGGAGCUGAUCAAGGAAACAUCCACCAAGGCCGCCCAGACCGGCCCCUGUGUCCUGAUCCUGGUCCUGUCCCUGGGCCUGAUCCUGCUCCCGAGCUCCAGCCCCUUCCAGCAGGAGGAGCACCGGGAUGGCCUCGGACCCACCGGAGUGAUCUCCAGGAACAUCCUGACACGGCAGGAGCCGGGAGAGGCCGGAGACCCCCCGAUCCCGGGGUGGGGCUGGGGGGCACAGCCGGGAGCGGAGGAUGGAGCUGGGGGGGGGUCUGGGGAGGGGUUCACCCCCCCUGGAAGGGAUCCAGGGACAAAUUCCUCCGGGCAGGAUGUGGGGACAGGGGGACACGGGGAUGAGAUGUGACCUGGAGACCCCUGGAAUAAACCCACGCUCCG